rnacentral:rRNA from 1 species
UAACACGUAGGUGGCGAACGUUAUCCGGAAUUACUGGGCGUAAAGGGUCCGCAGGCGGCGGAGGAGGUCUGGUGUGACAGCCCGUGGCUCAACUACGGGAGGCCACUGGAAACCGCUCCGCUCGAAUCAGGCCGAGGUCGGUGGAAUUCCCGGUGUAGUGGUGGAAUGCGUAGAGAUCGGGAGGAACCUCGAAAGCGAAGGCAGCCGGCUAGGCCCUGAUUGACGCUGAGGGACGAGAGCGUGGGGAGCGAACAGGAUUAGAUACCCUGGUAGUCCACGCCGUAAACGAUGUGUGCUCGGUGUGUGGUCCGUCAGGGCUGCGCGCCUCAGCUAACGCGUAAGCACACCGCCUGGGGAGUACGGCCGCAAGGCUA